GUGCCAGCCGCCGCGGUAAUACGGAGGGUGCAAGCGUUAAUCGGAAUUACUGGGCGUAAAGCGCGCGUAGGUGGUGAAGUCAGUCGGAUGUGAAAGCCCAGGGCUUAACCUUGGAAUUGCAUCUGAUACUGCUUCGCUAGAGUAUGGUAGAGGGGUGUGGAAUUUCCUGUGUAGCGGUGAAGUGCGUAGAUAUAGGAAGGAACACCAGUGGCGAAGGCGACACCCUGGACCAAUACUGACACUGAGGUGCGAAAGCGUGGGUAGCAAGCAGGAUUAGAAACCCGGGUAGUCC
rnacentral:rRNA from 1 species